rnacentral:rRNA from 1 species
ACAGGCUUAACACAUGCAAGUCGAGGGGCAGCAUGGUCUUAGCUUGCUAAGGCUGAUGGCGACCGGCGCACGGGUGAGUAACACGUAUCCAACCUGCCGUCUACUCUUGGCCGGCCUUCUGAAAGGAAGAUUAAUCCAGGAUGGGAUCAUGAGUUCACAUGUCCGCAUGAUUAAAGGUAUUUUCCGGUAGACGAUGGGGAUGCGUUCCAUUAGAUAGUAGGCGGGGUAACGGCCCACCUAGUCAACGAUGGAUAGGGGUUCUGAGAGGAAGGUCCCCCACAUUGGAACUGAGACACGGUCCAAACUCCUACGGGAGGCAGCAGUGAGGAAUAUUGGUCAAUGGGCGAUGGCCUGAACCAGCCAAGUAGCGUGAAGGAUGACUGCCCUAUGGGUUGUAAACUUCUUUUAUAAAGGAAUAAAGUCGGGUAUGCAUACCCGUUUGCAUGUACUUUAUGAAUAAGGAUCGGCUAACUCCGUGCCAGCAGCCGCGGUAAUACGGAGGAUGCGAGCGUUAUCCGGAUUUAUUGGGUUUAAAGGGAGCGUAGGCGGACGCUUAAGUCAGUUGUGAAAGUUUGCGGCUCAACCGUAAAAUUGCAGUUGAUACUGGGUGUCUUGAGUACAGUAGAGGCAGGCGGAAUUCGUGGUGUAGCGGUGAAAUGCUUAGAUAUCACGAAGAACUCCGAUUGCGAAGGCAGCUUGCUGGACUGUAACUGACGCUGAUGCUCGAAAGUGUGGGUAUCAAAC